rnacentral:rRNA from 1 species
UAGGAUCAUUACUGAGUUACCGCUCUAUAACCCUUUGUGAACAUACCUACAACUGUUGCUUCGGCGGGUAGGCCGUCCCCUGAAAAGGACGCCUCCCGGCCCGGACCGGGCCCCCUGUGGGGCCGGACUCGGCGCCCGCCGGAGGAUAACCAAACGCUAUUUUAACGACGUUUCUUCUGAGUGGCAUAAGCAAAAUAAUCAAAACUUUUAACAACGGAUCUCUUGGUUCUGGCAUCGAUGAAGAACGCAGCGAAAUGCGAUAAGUAAUGUGAAUUGCAGAAUUCAGUGAAUCAUCGAAUCUUUGAACGCACAUUGCGCCCGCCAGCAUUCUGGCGGGCAUGCCUGUUCGAGCGUCAUUUCAACCCUCAAGUGUUGGGGCUCUACGGUCGACGUAGGCCCUCAAAGGUAGUGGCGGACCCUCCCGGAGCCUCCUUUGCGUAGUAACAUUUCGUCUCGCACUGGGAUCCGGAGGGACUCUUGCCGUAAAACCCCCCAAUUUUUCAAGGUUGACCUCGGAUCAGGUAGGAAUA